rnacentral:rRNA from 1 species
UACAGAGGGUGCGAGCGUUGUUCGGAAUUACUGGGCGUAAAGCGCGCGCAGGCGGCCAACUAAGUCAGACGUGAAAUCCCUCGGCUUAACCGGGGAACUGCGUCUGAUACUGGAUGGCUAGAGGUUGGGAGAGGGAUGCGGAAUUCCAGGUGUAGCGGUGAAAUGUGUAGAUAUCUGGAGGAACACCGGUGGCGAAGGCGGCAUCCUGGACCAAUUCUGACGCUGAGGAGCGAAAGCCAGGGGAGCAAACGGG